rnacentral:lncRNA from 1 species
UUCCCUGGUGAAGAGUGGAGCCUGAAAAUCCUGAACAAAGGCAGUACAGGCGUCGCUGUGCAGAUCACGUGGAGUGAACUCUACUAUGUCGGCAUGACUGAAGAGUUGGACAUUGUGGUCUGGACAUCUGAGGGGCGGGGGCCAAUUUCGCAAAUUAACGAAAAUCAAGAACUUGUUCUCUAUGCAUCAGUCCUCAACUACGGGAGGCAGGUGCUGGGGUCGCGUGUGGCUGUGACGGCAGACCUGGGGCUGGUGGGGCCGGGG